rnacentral:rRNA from 1 species
CGGUGAAUACGUUCCCGGGCCUUGUACACACCGCCCGUCAAGCCAUGGAAGCUGGGGGUGCCUGAAGUCCGUAACCGAAAGGAGCGGCCUAGGGUAAAACUAGUGACUGGGGCU